rnacentral:rRNA from 1 species
CCUACGGGUGGCUGCAGUGGGGAAUAUUGUACAAUGGGCGAAAGCCUGAUCCAGCCAUGCCGCGUGUGUGAAGAAGGCCUUCGGGUUGUAAAGCACUUUCAGUGGGGAAGAAAGCCUUGGGGCUAAUACCCUCGAGGAAGGACAUCACCCACAGAAGAAGCACCGGCUAACUCCGUGCCAGCAGCCGCGGUAAUACGGAGGGUGCGAGCGUUAAUCGGAAUUACUGGGCGUAAAGCGCGCGUAGGCGGUCUGAUAAGCCGGUUGUGAAAGCCCCGGGCUCAACCUGGGAACGGCAUCCGGAACUGUCAGGCUAGAGUGCAGGAGAGGAAGGUAGAAUUCCCGGUGUAGCGGUGAAAUGCGUAGAGAUCGGGAGGAAUACCAGUGGCGAAGGCGGCCUUCUGGACUGACACUGACGCUGAGGUGCGAAAGCGUGGGUAGCAAACAGGAUUAGAUACCCGAGUAGUC